UACGUAGGUGGCGAGCGUUGUCCGGAUUUACUGGGCGUAAAGAGCGCGCAGGCGGUCGUUCAAGUCGAGUGUGAAAGCCCCCGGCUCAACUGGGGAGGGUCAUUCGAUACUGAUCGACUCGAAGGCAGGAGAGGGAAGUGGAAUUCCCGGUGUAGUGGUGAAAUGCGUAGAUAUCGGGAGGAACACCAGUGGCGAAGGCGACUUCCUGGCCUGUUCUUGACGCUGAGGCGCGAAAGCGUGGGGAGCAAACGGG
rnacentral:rRNA from 1 species